ACUUUCAACAACGGAUCUCUUGGUUCUGGCAUCGAUGAAGAACGCAGCGAAAUGCGAUAAGUAAUGUGAAUUGCAGAAUUCAGUGAAUCAUCGAAUCUUUGAACGCACAUUGCGCCCCCUGGUAUUCCGGGGGCAUGCCCGUUCGAGCGUCAUUACACCACUCCAGCCUCGCUGGGUAUUGGGCGUCUUUUCGCGGGGGAUCACUCCCCCGCGCGCCUCAAAGUCUCCGGCUGAGCGGUCUCGUCUCCAGCGUUGUGGCAUCACGUCUCGCCGCGGAGUUCACGAGCCCUCACGGCCGUUAAAUCACACCUCAGGUUGACCUCGGAUCGGGUAGGGAUACCCGCUGAACUUAAGCAUAUCAAUAAGCGGAGGAAAAGAAACCAACAGGGAUUGCCCUAGUAACGGCGAGUGAAGCGGCAACAGCUCAAAUUUGAAAUCUGGCCCCCCGGCCCGAGUUGUAAUUUGUAGAGGAUGCUUCUGGGUAGCGACCGGUCUAAGUUCCUUGGAACAGGACGUCAUAGAGGGUGAGAAUCCCGUAUGCGACCGGCCCGCGCCCUCCACGUAGCUCCUUCGACGAGUCGAGUUGUUUGGGAAUGCAGCUCUAAAUGGGAGGUAAAUUUCUUCUAAAGCUAAAUACCGGCCAGAGACCGAUAGCGCACAAGUAGAGUGAUCGAAAGAUGAAAAGCACUUUGGAAAGAGAGUUAAAAAGCACGUGAAAUUGUUGAAAGGGAAGCGCUUACAACCAGACUUUGGGGCGGUGUUCCGCCGGUCUUCUGACCGGUCUACUCUCCGUCCCGAGGCCAACAUCAUCUGGGACCGCCGGACAAGACCUCAGGAAUGUAGCUCCCCGGGGGAGUGUUAUAGCCUGUGGUGAUGCGGCGCGUCCCGGGUGAGGUCCGCGCUUCGGCAAGGAUGUUGGCGUAAUGGUUGUCAGCGGCCCGUCUUGAAACACGACCAAGGAGUCUAACAUCUAUGCGAGUGUUCGGGUGUCAAACCCCUACGCGGAAUGAAGUGAACGGAGGUGGGAAGGGGCAACCCUGCACCAUCGACCGAUCCUGAUGUCCUCGGAUGGAUUGAGUAAGAGCAUAGCUGUUGGGACCCGAAAGAUGGUGAACUAUGCCUGAAUAGGGUGAAGCCAGAGGAAACUCUGGUGGAGGCUCGCAGCGGUUCUGACGUGCAAAUCGAUCGUCAAAUUUGGGUAUAGGGGCGAAAGACUAAUCGAACCAUCUAGUAGCUGGUUCCUGCCGAAGUUUCCCUCAGGAUAGCAGUAACGUUUUUCAGUUUUAUGAGGUAAAGCGAAUGAUUAGAGGCCUUGGGGUUGAAACAACCUUAACCUAUUCUCAAACUUUAAAUAUGUAAGAAGUCCUUGUUACUUAGUUGAACGUGGACAUUUGAAUGUAUCGUUACUAGUGGGCCAUUUUUGGUAAGCAGAACUGGCGAUGCGGGAUGAACCGAACGCGAGGUUAAGGUGCCGGAAUGUACGCUCAUCAGACACCACAAAAAGGUGUUAGUUCAUCUAGACAGCAGGACGGUGGCCAUGGAAGUCGGAAUCCGCUAAGGAGUGUGUAACAACUCACCUGCCCGAAUGAACUAGCCCUGAAAAUGGAUGGCGCUUAAGCGUGCUACCCAUACCUCGCCGCCAGGGUAGAAACGAUGCCCUGGCGAGUAGGCAGGCGUGGAGGUCCGUGACGAAGCCUUGGGGGUGACCCCGGGUCGAACGGCCUCUAGUGCAGAUCUUGGUGGUAGUAGCAAAUACUCAAAUGAGAACUUUGAGGACUGAAGUGGGGAAAGGUUCCGUGUGAACAGCAGUUGGACACGGGUUAGUCGAUCCUAAGCCAUAGGGAAAUUCCGUUUUAAAGUGCACACUCCGUGCCGCCCGGCGAAAGGGAAACCGGUUAACAUUCCGGUACCUGGAUGUGGAUUAUCCGCGGCAACGCAACUGAAGGUGGAGACGUCGGCGGGGGCCCCGGGAAGAGUUCUCUUUUCUUCUUUAACGGUCCGUCACCCUGAAAUCGGUUUGUCCGGAGCUAGGGUUUAACGACCGGUAGAGCGGCGCACCUUUGCGCCGUCCGGUGCGCUCCCGACGAUCUUGAAAAUCCACCGGAAGGAAUGAUUUUCACGCCAG
rnacentral:rRNA from 1 species